rnacentral:rRNA from 1 species
UACAGAGGUCUCAACCGUUGUUCGGAUUCAUUUGGGCGUAAAGGGUGCGUAGCGGUCGGGUAAGUCGGAUGUGAAAUCUCAGGCUCAACCCUGAAACUGCAUUCGAUACUGCCUGGCUAGGGUACUGGAGAGGAGACUGGAAUUCCUGGUGUAGCGGUGAAAAUGCGCAGAUAUCAGGAGGAACACCGGUGGCGAAAGGCGGGGUCUCUGGGCAAACAACU